AAAGAACCAGUCACCAAAACAAAGAAGGCGUAUAUUGCUUGGAACGAUAAUGAUGAAUCCUCUGCCUCUUCGGAUGAAGAAGAAGCCAAUAUGUGUCUCAUGGCAAAUUCAGAUUCAGAAUCAGAAAAUGAGGUUAGUUCACAAUCUAAUCCAACCUAUGAUGAACUUCAAGAAGCUUUCAAUGAAUUGCAUGAUGAUUAUGUGAACUCCAUAAAAC
rnacentral:lncRNA from 1 species